rnacentral:rRNA from 1 species
CCUACGGGUGGCAGCAGUCGAGAAUCAUUCACAGUGGGGGAAACCCUGAUGGUGCGACGCCGCGUGGGGGAAUGAAGGUCUUCGGAUUGUAAACCCCUGUCAUGUGGGAGCAAAUUAAAAAGAUAGUACCACAAGAGGAAGAGACGGCUAACUCUGUGCCAGCAGCCGCGGUAAUACAGAGGUCUCAAGCGUUUUUCGGAAUCACUGGGCGUAAAGCGUGCGUAGGCUGUUUCGUAAGUCGUGUGUGAAAGGCGCGGGCUCAACCCGCGGACGGCACAUGAUACUGCGAGACUAGAGUAAGGGAGGGGGAACCGGAAUUCUCGGUGUAGCAGUGAAAUGCGUAGAUAUGGAGAGGAACACUCGUGGCGAAGGCGGGUUCCUGGACAUUAACUGACGCUGAGGCACGAAGGCCAGGGGAGCGAAAGGGAUUAGAUACCCGGGUAGUC